GACGUAGGGCGCGAGCGUGUCCGGAUUUAUUGGGCGUAAAGAGCUCGUAGGCGGCUUGUCGGCGUCGUUCGUGAAAACCUGCAGCUCAACUGCAGGCUUGCGGUCGAUACGGGCAGACUAGAGUUCGGUAGGGGAGACUGGAAUUCCUGGUGUAGCGGUGGAAAUGCGCAGAGUAUCAGGAGGAACACCGGUGGCGAAGGCGGGUCUCUGGGCCGAUACUGACGCUGAGGAGCGAAAGCGUGGGGAGCGAACAGG
rnacentral:rRNA from 1 species